CUCAAGAUCUUGUUGACAUUAUCAAGGCACAGCUUCAAAGGCCCUUUUGUUGACUAUGCUGCAUUCAAAAAUAUACCCUUUGGAAAGUAUGCUAGCUGCAAAGGUUGAAUAUGAAUGCAGAAUGAGAGGAGCACAGUGAAUAGAAUUCAAUCCUAUCGUUGGUGGUGGGCUGAAUGCAAGUGUCAUAAACUAUUUGGAAAAUAACCAAAAGUUUAAUUUAGUUAUCAUCACCAAAUGCUAUCUCCUAGUAUUUAUUUUUUAUUGUUCAAUUUUUCUCACAUAUUUGGCAGAUUAA